ACGGAAGGCAGCAGUGGGGAAUUUUGCGCAAUGGGGGGAACCCUGACGCAGCAACGCCGCGUGCGGGAUGAAGGCCUUCGGGUUGUAAACCGCUUUCAGCAGGGACGAUUAUGACGGUACCUGCAGAAGGAGCUCCGGCUAACUACGUGCCAGCAGCCGCGGUAAUACGUAGGGAGCGAGCGUUAUCCGGAUUCAUUGGGCGUAAAGCGCGCGUAGGCGGCUUGCUAAGCGGAACCUCUAAUCCGAGGGCUCAACCCCCGGCCGGGUUCCGAACUGGCAGGCUCGAGUGCGGUAGGGGCAAGUGGAAUUCCAUGUGUAGCGGUGGAAUGCGCAGAUAUAUGGAAGAACACCGAUGGCGAAGGCAGCUUGCUGGGCCGACACUGACGCUGAGGUGCGAAAGCGUGGGGAGCGAACAGGAUUAGAUACCCUGGUA
rnacentral:rRNA from 1 species